rnacentral:rRNA from 1 species
AUGGCCACGUAUUUUGACUCGGACCGUCAGUCGAACAAAGACUACACAAAUAUCAAGAAAGUUCUUGAUGAUGUUCUCCCUGGCAAUGCCAGAUCUGGAGGCACCUUCACCAGGCCAAUUCGUAGGUACGGCAAGCACGUGUUCACCCACAAUACGACGUUCCCCUGCGUCAAGCAGCCGCCUGGCAGUCAGAAGGAUGCCUACUACACCCUCCAUCACAUGCGGGCGAUUGUACGGGACCAUAAUCACCUUCUGCUACCAAAUAAUCUCAAAGAUUGGGCCACACGCUUGUCGGCAAUCUAG